GGCCCUUGAAAAGUUUAAAACGCACCCAUAGUGAAGUCCGGGGGUCUCCUUACGCUAGCCGCUAAAUUUUAUAUAUUCGACCAAAACAGAAGGUUAGGGUUUCGACUCUCGAAACUUCCUUUUAUCUGUGGAUUCAACAUUCAUCUUCGCCACGAAUUUGUUUUCCGCGAUAUCUUGCAAAAUUUAGGAGCCGCUUAAUUUUUCUGGUCUCGUAUAAUCUCAACCGCUCGUACUUUCAUCACAUAAUAAAGAACUUGAGGAGAAAGCGAUGGAUGAGGGGAAGCAUAAAUCUAGGAGGGAGGAUUCGGAGAGGAGUGAGGUGGAGGAUUUGAAGGAGUCGAAGCGGAGCCACCGUGAUCGCGAUAGAGAAAGAGAUAAGGAGAGAAAUGGGGAGAGACACAGGGACAGGGACCGAGAUAGGGUGAAGAAAGACCGUGAUAGCCGGCGUUCAGAGAGAGAGAAGAGUAGCGAAUCUGAUGACAAGGAGAGAAAUGGGGAGAGACAUAGGGAGCGGGAUAGGGAGAAGAAGGACCGCGAUAGCCGGCGUUCUGAGAAAGAGAAGAGUAUCGAAUCUGAUGAGAAGGAGAGAAAUGGGGAGAGGCAUAGGGACCAGGAGAGGGAGAAGAAGGACCGAGAUAGUCGGCGUUCUGAGAGAGAGAAGAGUAGUGAUUCUGAUGACAAGCAUGAUAGAAUUAGGGAGAAGCAUAGAGACAGGGACAAGGAUAAGGAUAGGACACGAAGUCGGGAUGACGACAGAGAAAGAGAGAGAGCCAGAGAAAAGAAGAGGGAAAGAGACAGGGAAGAGAGGGAGAGAGAGAGGGAGAGGGAAAGGGAGAAAGAGAAGAGGGAGAGGGCAAGAGAGAAAGAAAGAGAGAGGGAAAGAGAAAGGGAGAAGAGGGAACGUGAGAGAGAAGAGCGAGAGAGGGAGAGAGAGAGGGAGAGGAGGGAGCGUGAAAGAGAGAGAGAGAAGGAGAGAGAAAGAGAGAGGAGGAUACGGGACAGGGAGAAGCAUCGAGAAGCUGAUAGUGAUGACGGUGAUGAUAAUCAUAGGGAGCAUGACAGGAAGCGACGCAGGAGAGACGAUGAUGGUUACAAGGAUAGAGAUCGUGAACGGAGCAAUAGCAGGCCGCGCAAGCACAGGGCUGAUAGUGAAGAGAGCCCUAGAAAAAGGAGUACUGAGGAUGAUUCUGAUAAGGAGAAUAAACUGACCCGUGAAGAGGAGUUGAAGGAUGAGCAGCGGAGAUUGGAGGAGGAAAUGGAAAAGCGGAGGAGGAGAGUGCAGGAGUGGCAGGAGACGAAGAGAAAAAAUGAAGAAGCUGAGAGAGAAAAGCGUGGGGAAGCGAAUGCUGAGGAACCCAUGUCUGGGAAGACCUGGACCCUUGAAGGAGAAUCUGAUGAUGAAGAAGUACCUCCUAUGGGGAAACCAGAGACGGAUAUGGACAUGGAUGAAAAUGUCAAUCCUACUGACAACGAAGUUGGGGAUUCAAUGUUGGUUGAUUCUGAGAAUGGAAUAGCUUCCACUUCACAGAAUGGGGCUGAUGGUGAUGCUGGGGAUGAGGAAAUUGAUCCAUUGGAUGCCUUUAUGAAUUCUAUGGUAUUGCCUGAAGUUGAGAAGCUAAACAAUACUUCGGCUCCUCCGAAUUUUGAUGAUAUGGAUGUGGACUCAAAGAACAAACCUAAGAAGGAUGAAUUAAGUAAUGGUGAGCAGCCUAGGAAGGGUUCAAAUAAGUCUAUGGGGAGAAUAAUGCAGGGUGAAGAUUCAGAGUCAGAUUAUAGUGACCUUGAGAAUGAUGAGGAUCCUGUACAAGAAGAAGAUGAUGAUGAGUUCAUGAAAAGGGUGAAGAAGACAAAAGCUGAGAAGCUUUCUGUAGUUGACCACUCUAAGAUUGAUUAUGAACCGUUCCGGAAAAACUUCUAUAUUGAAGUGAAAGAGAUCGGUAAGAUGACUUCUGAAGAGGUUGUUGCUUACCGAAAAGAAUUGGAAUUGAAGUUACAUGGUAAAGAUGUACCAAAGCCAAUUAAAACCUGGCACCAAACGGGACUCACGAGUAAAAUCUUGGAGACAAUAAAGAAGCUGGAAUAUGAAAGUCCAAUGCCAAUUCAAGCUCAGGCUCUGCCUAUAAUUAUGAGUGGUCGAGACUGCAUAGGCGUUGCCAAAACUGGCUCAGGCAAAACCCUUGCAUUUGUGCUGCCAAUGUUGAGGCAUAUCAAGGACCAGCCACCUGUGGUAGCUGGAGAUGGACCUAUUGGGCUUAUAAUGGCACCUACAAGGGAGCUUGUACAGCAGAUCCACAGUGAUAUAAAGAAGUUUUCCAAGGUACUUGGUAUCAGGUGUGUGCCUGUGUAUGGAGGUUCUGGUGUUGCUCAACAAAUUAGUGACUUGAAGCGUGGUACAGAGAUUGUUGUCUGUACUCCAGGUAGGAUGAUUGACAUACUUUGCACAAGUGGGGGGAAAAUUACAAAUCUGCGUAGAGUUACAUAUUUGGUUAUGGAUGAAGCUGAUCGGAUGUUUGACAUGGGUUUUGAGCCUCAAAUUACUCGAAUUGUUCAAAAUAUUCGGCCAGAUCGUCAAACGGUACUCUUUUCUGCAACUUUCCCUCGUCAGGUAGAAAUUUUGGCGCGUAAAGUGUUAAACAAACCUGUGGAGAUACAGGUUGGUGGGAGAAGUGUUGUGAACAAGGAUAUAACACAGUUGGUUGAGGUGAGGCUGGAAAAUGAAAGGUUCUUAAGAUUGCUGGAACUACUUGGGGAAUGGUAUGAGAAAGGGAAAAUUUUAAUAUUUGUCCACUCGCAGGAGAAAUGUGAUGCUUUGUUCAGGGAUCUCAUCAAGCAUGGUUAUCCUUGCCUCUCGCUUCAUGGGGCUAAGGACCAGACUGACCGUGAAUCAACCAUUUCUGAUUUUAAGAGCAAUGUCUGCAAUUUGCUGAUUGCUACAAGUAUUGCUGCUAGGGGUUUAGAUGUGAAGGAGCUUGAAUUGGUGGUAAACUUUGACGUUCCAAACCACUAUGAAGAUUAUGUCCAUCGUGUUGGUCGUACAGGUCGAGCUGGCAGGAAAGGUUGUGCUAUCACAUUUAUUUCUGAGGAAGAUGCAAGAUAUGCACCUGAUCUUGUAAAAGCAUUGGAACUUUCUGAGCAAGCUGUUCCCGAUGACCUGAAAGCUCUUGCUGAUGGUUUUAUGGCAAAAGUGAAUCAGGGACUUGAGCAAGCCCAUGGUACUGGUUAUGGUGGAAGUGGUUUUAAAUUUAAUGAAGAGGAAGAUGAGGUGAGGAGAGCUGCAAAGAAAGCACAGGCCAAAGAAUAUGGUUUUGAAGAGGACAAGUCAGAUUCGGAUGAUGAUGAUGACAGUAUACGGAAGGCAGGUGGUGACAUAUCCCAGCAUACUGCCUUAGCUCAGAUAAUUGCUGCUGCCUCCAAAGUCAGUACAGCGAGUGCACCUAUGCCGACCCCUGUCUCUGCUGUACAACUGCUUCCCAACGGUGGACUACCUGUUACACUGCCAACAAUUGGUCUAGCAAUACCUGGAACAACGGCAGCGGUGUCUGCGACCGGCCUGCCUGUUGUUGCCAAUGAUGGAGCAGGGGCAGCUCGGGCAGCAGCAAUUGCAGCGGCUCUCAACUUACAGAAAAAUUUGUUGAAGCUUCAAGAAGUUGCUAUGCCAGAACAUUACGAAGCGGAGUUGGAGAUUAAUGAUUUUCCCCAGAAUGCUCGAUGGAGGGUUACCCACAAGGAAACUUUGGGCCCAAUUUCGGAGUGGACUGGAGCUGCUAUUACUACGAGGGGGCAGUAUUUUCCACAAGGUCGGAUCCCAGGACCUGGAGACCGCAAGCUCUACUUGUUCAUUGAGGGCCCUACUGAACAGUCUGUCAAGAGAGCUAAAUCAGAAUUAAAACGAGUUUUGGAAGACAUCACAAACCAGGGAUCACAACCAAACAGUGCAGCCCAACCUGGCAGAUACCAAGUUUUAUAAGUGUUCAGUUGGGAAAUUUCAGGAGCCAAUUGUUGCUUUGUGUGCAACUUUUGUUAUGGUGAAGAUAUCGACAGGACUACCAUCUAAUCAGGACACCUACUACCACCGGCAGUAAGCCUUCCAGGACUGUCAAUCUGAAACUCUUUUCCUAUCAUAUCAGAAGCUAGUAGGGAGAGAACUGAAAGGAGGUUUGGAAGAAGUGGACGAGAGGUAAAUCAGCAUAUUGGAUUGGUAUACUGGAACUCUGGUAUGCUUUUUUCUGAACUCGUGUCUUGGAUGUAUGUGAUGAAGGAAUUGCUUCACUUGGUGUUGGAUUUCUAUGGAUCAAUCUGCUCGUGCCUCAGAAGGCUGCUUCCUUCGUUUGAUUUAGAAGAUUUUAUGUUAUUUUCCUCGUUUUAUUGUGAUGUGCAAUAAGUGUGAUGCGGUGCUAUAGAGAAUUGUUAGGUAUCUUGUGGGGGGACAAAAGGUUAUGUGGUGUUGAAAAUAUGAGUCCUUGCAAUUUACAGCCUUAACACUUUACUUUGGUCUUGUCCCCCAUAGUUUAAACUUUUAGAUUGUGACCAUAGUGUUUGGAAACAAGUCCAUCCCUCAAUGGCCGGUGUUGAUGUGUCUGUCUAAACAAUGUGGUUUUUGCUUA